rnacentral:rRNA from 1 species
AGGUUAAGUUAGAAAGGGCGCACGGUGAAUGCCUUGGCACUAGGAGCCGAUGAAGGACGGUACUAACACCGAUAUGCUUCGGGGAGCUGUAAGUAAGCUUUGAUCCGGAGAUUUCCGAAUGGGGAAACCCCCUAUCCGUAAUGGGAUAGGAUCCUUAUCUGAAUACAUAGGGUAUGGAAGGCAGACCCGGGGAACUGAAACAUCUAAGUACCCGGAGGAAGAGAAAGCAAACGCGAUUCCCUGAGUAGCGGCGAGCGAAACGGGAUUAGCCCAAACCAGGAGGCUUGCCUCCUGGGGUUGUAGGACACUCUACACGGAGUUACAAAGGAACGAGGUAAAUGAACAGGUCUGGAAAGGCCGGCCAGAGAAGGUAAAAGCCCUGUAGUUGAAACUUCGUUCCCU